GCCAGGCUUAACUUGUAACGCUUGUGACAAGGAAUUUGUUGAUGAUACUGAGCAAAAGCUUCAUUACAAAUCUGAAUGGCACCGAUACAAUCUUAAACGCAAGGUUGCAGGAGUUCCUGGAGUGAGAGAGACUAUUUUUCUAGCCAGACAGGCUGCACUUGCAGAAGAGAAGGAAAAGUUGAGUGAAACUCCAUUGCUAUAUGCCUGUGGUCUGUGUGACAAAGAGUAUAGAAGCUCCAAGGCUCAUGCUCAGCAUCUGAAAUCUAAAAGUCACUUAGCACGGGCUUCUCAACAACCAGGUCAUCCUAAUGAGAAUAGUGUUACAAUCAAGCCGCUUCUACGCCACCCUCGAAAUGAAACCUCACGCAAGGCCAAAGAGGAUGUUAUUGAGGAGAAUGAUGAAAGUGAUGAAAGUGAAUGGGAGGAGGUUGA
rnacentral:misc_RNA from 1 species